CCUUUCAUCUUCAACUCACCGCAGGACCCCACGCAAGUGGGCAGAAAUGCGGUGAGGCGAAGCCACCCUUGCCUAUGAGUACCUUUUGUUCCCUCGGCGGGCUCGCGCCCGUCGAUGGAUCCAACCAAACCCCCUUGCAGUAGCAGUAUACCUCUGAUCGUGGGCACUUGAAUCUUUA
rnacentral:misc_RNA from 1 species